CAACAGGGAUUGCCCCAGUAACGGCGAGUGAAGCGGCAACAGCUCAAAUUUGAAAUCCGGCCCCCGGCCCGAGUUGUAAUUUGCAGAGGAUGCUUCCGGCGCGGCGCCUUCCGAGUUCCCUGGAACGGGACGCCACAGAGGGUGAGAGCCCCGUCCGGUCGGACGCCAAGCCUGUGUGAAGCUCCUUCGACGAGUCGAGUAGUUUGGGAAUGCUGCUCAAAACGGGAGGUAUAUGUCUUCUAAAGCUAAAUACCGGCCAGAGACCGAUAGCGCACAAGUAGAGUGAUCGAAAGAUGAAAAGCACUUUGGAAAGAGGGUUAAAAAGUACGUGAAAUUGUUGAAAGGGAAGCGCCCGUGACCAGACUCGGGCCCGGCGGAUCACCCGGCGUUCUCGCCGGGGCACUCCGCCGGGCGCGGGCCAGCAUCAGCUCGGCGCGGGGGACAAAGGCUCUGGGAACGUGGCUCCCCCGGGAGUGUUAUAGCCCACCGCGCAAUGCCCCGCGCCGGACUGAGGUACGCGCACCGCAAGGAUGCUGGCGUAAUGGUCACCGGCGACCCGUCUUGAAACACGGACCAAGGAGUCGUCUUCGUAUGCGAGUGUUCGGGUGUCAAACCCCUACGCGGAAUGAAAGUGAACGCAGGUGGGAGCCUCGGCGCACCACCGACCGAUCCCGAUGUUCUCGGACGGAUUUGAGUAGGAGCAUACGGGGCCGGACCCGAAAGAAGGUGAACUAUGCCUGUGUAGGGUGAAGCCAGAGGAAACUCUGGUGGAGGCUCGCAGCGGUUCUGACGUGCGAAUCGAUCGUCAAACAUGGGCAUGGGGG
rnacentral:rRNA from 1 species